rnacentral:rRNA from 1 species
GACGAACGCUGGCGGCGUGCCUAAUACAUGCAAGUAGAACGCUGAAGCGAGGAGCUUGCUCUUCUUGGAUGAGUUGCGAACGGGUGAGUAACGCGUAGGUAACCUGCCUUGUAGCGGGGGAUAACUAUUGGAAACGAUAGCUAAUACCGCAUAACAAUGGAUGACACAUGUCAUUUAUUUGAAAGGGGCAAUUGCUCCACUACAAGAUGGACCUGCGUUGUAUUAGCUAGUAGGUGAGGUAAUGGCUCACCUAGGCGACGAUACAUAGCCGACCUGAGAGGGUGAUCGGCCACACUGGGACUGAGACACGGCCCAGACUCCUACGGGAGGCAGCAGUAGGGAAUCUUCGGCAAUGGGGGCAACCCUGACCGAGCAACGCCGCGUGAGGGAAGAAGGUUUUCGGAUCGUAAAGUUCUGUUGUAAGUCAAGAACGGGUGUGAGAGUGGAAAGUUCACACUGUGACGGUAGCUUACCAGAAAGGGACGGCUAACUACGUG